GACGAACGCUGGCGGGGUGCUUAACACAUGCAAGUCGAACGGAAAGGCCCUGCUUUUGUGGGGUGCUCGAGUGGCGAACGGGUGAGUAACACGUGAGUAACCUGCCCUUGACUUUGGGAUAACUUCAGGAAACUGGGGCUACUACCGGAUAGGAGCUCCUGCUGCAUGGUGGGGGUUGGAAAGUUUCGGCGGUUGGGGAUGGACUCGCGGCUUAUCAGCUUGUUGGUGGGGUAGUGGCUUACCAAGGCUUUGACGGGUAGCCGGCCUGAGAGGGUGACCGGCCACAUUGGGACUGAGAUACGGCCCAGACUCCUACGGGAGGCAGCAGUGGGGAAUAUUGCACAAUGGGCGGAAGCCUGAUGCAGCAACGCCGCGUGCGGGAUGACGGCCUUCGGGUUGUAAACCGCUUUCGCCUGUGACGAAGCGUGAGUGACGGUAAUGGGUAAAGAAGCACCGGCUAACUACGUG
rnacentral:rRNA from 1 species